UACAGAGGUCUCAAGCGUUGUUCGGAUUCAUUGGGCGUAAAGGGUGCGUAGGCGGCGCGGUAAGUCGGGUGUGAAAUCUUGGAGCUUAACUCCGAAACUGCAUUCGAUACUGCCGUGCUUGAGGCCAGUAGGGGGAUGCGGAAUUCCGGGUGUAGUGGUGAAAUGCGUAGAGAUCCGGAGGAACACCAGCGGCGAAGGCGGCAUCCUGGACUGGUCCUGACGCUCAGGAGCGAAAGCGUGGGGAGCGAUCCGG
rnacentral:rRNA from 1 species